rnacentral:lncRNA from 1 species
AUCCCCUCUAGAGAAUGCAGCAGGAAGGGUCCAUCUUGGAAGCUGAGACGGGACUCUCACCAGACACAGAGACUGCCAAUGCCUUGAUCUUGAACAUUCCAGCAUCCAGAACGGAUUCCCAGAGAGAAGGAAAGGGUGUCUUCACUAGGCUUCAUGGUAGCAAGCACAAUCACUGCAUAAGAAGUGCAGGGACAGCAGAGUGACCCUUCUGUGAACACAUCCAAUGACUGGAGUCCGGAGGCCUAUGGGCUGGAAGUGAGUGUGCCAACAACCAGAGCCCUGGGUAAGAAGGGAACUGCAUCGCAAGGAGGCCCAAUUAAACUGCAAUUACUCAAGAUAAGAAAACGAGGUCUGUUUACACAAUGGGGUUGUAAACCACCGGCUGUGACAAGAGAACUUUGAUCUGGUGGCAAGGGAGCUGUUUCUCAUGCAGGGCAGUGAUGAAACAAGGAGGUUUCCCAAUGAGGAUGUCUCCAUCUUCACCCCAGUAGCCCCAUCUUCUUCUGGUAGCACCCUUGCAUGGACAAGCGGAAAUCCUCACCCCUUCCCAGCCCCAGUAUCCACCUAACACAAUCAAAAAGUGAAGAAUAGAAAGAGAUGAGAUAGUGACUAAAAGGAAAAGAGAAUUGAUGGAGGUCAUCUUUGUGGAGGCGCUUGACAAGCAUGUUCUCACUGAACCGUCACAGUGACCUUCCACGUACCUUAUACCAUGCCUAUUUUACAGAUGAAGACACUGAGGUUCAGAGGAGAGCAGUGCCUCCCAAACUGUAAUGUGCAUAUGAAUCACCCGGGGAUCCUGUUACAAUGCAGUCUGCUGCAGUAGGUCUGAGGUCUGGCCAGACAUUCCACAUUUCUAACAAGCUCCCACGUGGUGCUGAUGCCGCAGGUCAGAGGACUUCACUGUGAGUAGCAAGGCAGCGCUGGACUAACUUGGUUGAACUCAUGAGUGAUUAUAACAAGGAACAACAGGUGAGCAAGACUCUCAACAGCAGCAGUGGCCACCCUGCAGCCCUUGUGCACAGCCCACGGCCCCUGAAGAAAAAGCGUUUUCUCUUUGGAUAAAAAUAGGCCACCAAACCCAAAACCACAACUGAUGAAAGAGUUAUAGUAUCAGUAAUUUUACAAAUCAAAUGGAGCUGAUGGAGUUAUCAUUUUAGAAUUGGUAUUUCCUGCUGUUUAACAAAUACUUUUUUCUCAGUUGCAUGGCAGUGGUCUAAAGUAAGAAGGAAAAUGGACUUGAGAUUAAAAA